AGAUUCCCAUGUCAUUAUGGGGGUGUUGUGGUCGUUAUGGGGAGGUGAUGGUCCAGUGGUUAAAGCCUUGGGCUUUGGACCAGAGGCUCCUCGGGUCAAAUCAAAGCCUGACCAGAAAAAUCACUAAGGGCCCUUGGGCAAGGUCCUUAUUCCCCUAGCUGCUCCCAGUGUGCAGUGGGCGCCUUGCAUGGCAGCAGCCUCACAUCGGGG